ACACCCGAAGCCGGUGGAGUAACCAUUUGGAGCUAGCCGUCGAAGGUGGGACAAAUGAUUGGGGUGAAGUCGUAACAAGGUAGCCGUAUCGGAAGGUGCGGCUGGAUCACCUCCUUU
rnacentral:rRNA from 1 species